rnacentral:tRNA from 1 species
AGCUUUAUAGUUUAUUAAAACAUUAAUUUUGUAAAUUAAAAAUAUUUAUUUAAAAUUAAAGCUA